ACCAGUGAUGCACGAGGCACUGUUUUAGGAACCAGGGACACGACAAGGAAUAAGCAGCCGUGGCAUCUGUCUUCUGCGGAGCUCACAGGCAAAUUGCAACUGUGACAAGUACCACAAAGGGGAGGAACAAGGUGCCCAUCAAAGCUGGUGGCAUUUGUGUGACAAGCAGGAAAUACAAUCAACAGGCUUUGGGGAUGGGCUGGGUUUGGCGGACGAUGAGAAGGAGUGUCAAGAGACACUCCCAGGGUUCUGACUAGUAUAAUUGGACAGGCAGUGGUGUUCUUCACCAGGACAUCCUGGAAGAGGCCUGCAGUGGAGAAAGAGGCGACUCACACCCAUGCAGGCCACGGGAGCACAGCUCUGAUGGGCCAAGGGUCCAAGAUCAAGGUGUCAGCAGGGCCACACUCCCUCUGGAGGCUCUAAGAAGAGUCUGCUCCUGCCUCUUCCAGGCCAUCCUGGCUUGUGGCUGCAACUCUCAAGUCGCUGCCUCUGCCUUCACAUGGCCUUCUCCUCUUCCAUCUCUGUGUCUCUCCUCUGCGCGUCUCAUAUAAGGACAUUCAUCCUGGGAUUUACAAUCCGUCCAAGAUAAUGAUCCCAAGAAUCAUUUCAUCUCAAGAUCUUUAACUUGAACCGGGCACAGUGGCUCAUGCCUAUAAUCUCAGCAUUUUGAGAGGCCGAGGCAGGUGGGUCACUUGAGCCCAGGAGUUCAAGACCAGCGUGGGCAACUUAGGGAGACCUCGUCUCUACAAAAAAUACACACAAAAAAUUAACCAGGAGUGGUGGUGUGCAACCCUAGUCCCAGCUACUCGGGAGGCUGAGGCCAGAGGAUCGCUUGAGCCUGGGAGGUUGAGGCUGCAGUGAGCCGUGAUUGUGCCACUGCCUUCCAGCCUGGAUGACACAGUGAGACCCUAUCUCUCUCACACACACACACACACACACACACACACACACACACGAUCCUUAAGACCAGCCUGGGCCACAUAGGGAGCUCCACACAGAGCAGGUGCUCAUUCAAUGUUGUAAAUUACAUUUGUAAAGACACUUUUUCCAAAUAAGGUCACUUACAU
rnacentral:lncRNA from 1 species